rnacentral:rRNA from 1 species
CCGGAGCAAUACCGAAUGAGACCACGAUGACCUCGGUCGAUGUGGGAAAAGGUGGCCUCUUCUUGAAAGCUACCGCCGAAGGAUGAGCCCGCGUUUGAUUAGCUUGUUGGUGAGGUAAAGGCUCACCAAGGCUCCGAUCAAUAGCUGGUCUGAGAGGACGAUCAGCCACACUGGAACUGAGACACGGUCCAG